rnacentral:rRNA from 1 species
UACGACGGGGGCUAGCGUUGCUCGGAAUCACUGGGCGUAAAGCGCACGUAGGCGGAUUGUUAAGUCAGGGGUGAAAUCCUGGAGCUCAACUCCAGAACUGCCUUUGAUACUGGCGAUCUCGAGUCCGGGAGAGGUGAGUGGAACUGCGAGUGUAGAGGUGAAAUUUGUAGAUAUUCGCAAGAACACCAGUGGCGAAGGCGGCUCACUGGCCCGAUACUGACGCUGAGGUGCGAAAGCGUGGGGAGCAAACAGG